rfam:Magnaporthe poae ATCC 64411 unplaced genomic scaffold supercont1.3, whole genome shotgun sequence.
GGCCUGGUGGCGAAAUGGUAUCGCGUCAGAUUUCGGUUCUUGAAUACUCUGAAGGUUGCGGGUUCGAGCCCCGUCUGGGUCG